GUCUUUUCAGAGACAUCCGAUAAAAUUAGAACCAUAUAAAGGAGAUUAGCAUGGCUCCUGCACAAGGACGAUACGCAUAAAUCAAAAAAUGGUCUAAAUUUUU